GGGAGCAUGGCCGAGCAGUCCAAGGCGUUGGAUUUAGGCUCCAGUCUCUUCAGGGGCGAGGGUUCAAAUCCCUCUGCUGCCA